ACNUUACNUAGGCUUGACAUAUAGAGNAAAUCCCACAGAGAUGUGGAGUCCGUAAGGGCUCUAUACANGUGGUGCAUGGUUGUCGUCAGCUCGUGUCGUGAGAUGUUGGGUUAAGUCCCGCAACGAGCGCAACCCUCGUUCUAUGUUGCCAGCGCGUAAUGGCGGGGACUCAUAGGAGACUGCCGGGGUCAACUCGGAGGAAGGUGGGGAUGACGUCAAAUCAUCAUGCCCCUUAUGCCUAGGGCUGCACGCAUGCUACAAUGGCCGAUACAAAGGGCUGCGAUACCGCAAGGUGGAGCGAAUCCCAUAAAGUCGGUCUCAGUUCGGAUUGGGGUNUGCAACUCGACCCCAUGAAGUUGGAGUUGCUAGUAAUCGCAGAUCAGCAACGNUGCGGUGAAUACGUUCCCGGGCCUUGUACACACCGCCCGUCACGUCACGAAAGUCGGUAACACCCGAAGCCGGUGGCCUAACCGUAAGNA
rnacentral:rRNA from 1 species